CGGAGGGUGCAAGCGUUAUCCGGAUUCACUGGGUUUAAAGGGUGUGUAGGCGGGCUGUUAAGUCAGUGGUGAAAUCUCCGGGCUCAACCCGGAAACUGCCAUUGAUACUAUCAGUCUUGAAUAUCGUUGAGGUAGGCGGAAUAUAUCAUGUAGCGGUGAAAUGCAUAGAUAUGAUAUAGAACACCAAUUGCGAAGGCAGCUUACUAAACGAUCAUUGACGCUGAGGCACGAAAGCGUGGGGAUCAAACAGGAUUAGAUACCCUGGUAGUCCACGCCCUAAACGAUGAUUACUCGACAUACGCGAUACACAGUGUGUGUCUGAGCGAAAGCAUUAAGUAAUCCACCUGGGAAGUACGUCCGCAAGGAUG
rnacentral:rRNA from 1 species